rnacentral:rRNA from 1 species
UACGUAGGAGACGAGCGUUGUCCGGAGUUACUGGGCGUAAAGGGUGCGCAGGUGGCGGCGCGCGUGGGGGGUGAAAUCGCCCGGCUUAACUGGGCGGGGGCCUUCCAGACGGCGUGGCUUGAGCAGCGGAGGGGGACGUGGAAUUCCGGGUGGAGCGGUGAAAUGCGUAGAGAUCCGGAGGAACACCGACGGCGCAGGCAGCGUCCUGGCCGCUUGCUGACACUGAGGCACGAAAGCUAGGGGAGCGAAUGGG